rnacentral:rRNA from 1 species
AUGAACGCUGGCGGCGUGCCUAAUACAUGCAAGUCGAGCGAACAGACGAGGAGCUUGCUCCUCUGACGUUAGCGGCGGACGGGUGAGUAACACGUGGAUAACCUACCUAUAAGACUGGGAUAACUUCGGGAAACCGGAGCUAAUACCGGAUAAUAUAUUGAACCGCAUGGUUCAAUAGUGAAAGACGGUUUUGCUGUCACUUAUAGAUGGAUCCGCGCCGCAUUAGCUAGUUGGUAAGGUAACGGCUUACCAAGGCAACGAUGCGUAGCCGACCUGAGAGGGUGAACGGCCACACUGGAACUGAGACACGGUCCAGACUCCUACGGGAGGCAGCAGUAGGGAAUCUUCCGCAAUGGGCGAAAGCCUGAAGGAGCAACGCCGCGUGAGUGAUGAAGGUCUUCGGAUCGUAAAACUCUGUUAUUAGGGAAGAACAAAUGUGUAAGUAACUAUGCACGUCUUGACGGUACCUAAUCAGAAAGCCACGGCUAACUACGUG